rnacentral:rRNA from 1 species
ACUCAAAUGAAUAGACGGGGGCCCGCACAAGCGGUGGAGCAUGUGGUUUAAUUCGACGCAACGCGAAGAACCUUACCUGGGCUCGAACGGCUUUGGCAACCUCGUGGAAACAUGGGGCCUCCCGCAAGGGACCGGAGUCGAGGUGCUGCAUGGCUGUCGUCAGCUCGUGUCGUGAGAUGUUGGGUUAAGUCCCGCAACGAGCGCAACCCUUGUCCUGUUUUGGCAUGUGGAUCGAAAGGUCCGCGCAACUAUCAGGAGACCGCCAGCGAUAAGUUGGAGGAAGGUGGGGACGACGUCAAGUCAUCAUGGCCUUUAUGUCCAGGGCCACACACGUGCUACAAUGGGCGGUACAAAGCGCAGCGAACCCGCGAGGGGAAGCUAAUCGCAAAAAACCGUCCUCAGUUCGGAUCGCAGGCUGCAACUCGCCUGCGUGAAGCUGGAAUCGCUAGUAAUGGCAUAUCAGAACGAUGCCGUGAAUACGUUCCCGGGCCUUGUACACACCGCCCGU